AAAUUGAAGAGUUUGAUCAUGGCUCAGAUUGAACGCUGGCGGCAGGCCUAACACAUGCAAGUCGAACGGUAACAGGAAGCAGCUUGCUGCUUUGCUGACGAGUGGCGGACGGGUGAGUAAUGUCUGGGAAACUGCCUGAUGGAGGGGGAUAACUACUGGAAACGGUGGCUAAUACCGCAUAACGUCGCAAGACCAAAGAGGGGGACCUUCUGGCCUCUUGCCAUCAGAUGUGCCCAGAUGGGAUUAGCUUGUUGGUGAGGUAACGGCUCACCAAGGCGACGAUCCCUAGCUGGUCUGAGAGGAUGACCAGCCACACUGGAACUGAGACACGGUCCAGACUCCUACGGGAGGCAGCAGUGGGGAAUAUUGCACAAUGGGCGCAAGCCUGAUGCAGCCAUGCCGCGUGUAUGAAGAAGGCCUUCGGGUUGUAAAGUACUUUCAGCGGGGAGGAAGGGAGUAAGGUUAAUAACCUUAUU
rnacentral:rRNA from 3 species